rnacentral:lncRNA from 1 species
CUUUGGAGCUUGCUAAUGUGUCUAAUGAACUGCCAGGGCUGAAGUGGAUGCCUGGAAUCACACAGUGGAAGGUAAUGACGAAAGAUGGGCAGUGGUUUACAGACUGGGACGCUGUUCCUCACAGCAGACACACCCAGAUCCGACCCACCAUGUUCCCUCCGAAGGACCCAGAAAAGCUGCAGGCCAUGCACCUGGAGCGAUG